rnacentral:rRNA from 1 species
ACCCGCUGAACUUAAGCAUAUCAAUAAGCGGAGGAAAAGAAACCAACAGGGAUUGCCCUAGUAACGGCGAGUGAAGCGGCAACAGCUCAAAUUUGAAAUCUGGCGUCUUUGGCGUCCGAGCUGUAAUUUGCAGAGGGCGCUUUGGCAUUGGCAGCGGUCCAAGUUCCUUGGAACAGGACGUCACAGAGGGUGAGAAUCCCGUACGUGGUCGCUAGCCUUUACCGUGUAAAGCCCCUUCGACGAGUCGAGUUGUUUGGGAAUGCAGCUCUAAAUGGGAGGUAAAUUUCUUCUAAAGCUAAAUACUGGCCAGAGACCGAUAGCGCACAAGUAGAGUGAUCGAAAGAUGAAAAGCACUUUGGAAAGAGAGUUAAAAAGCACGUGAAAUUGUUGAAAGGGAAGCGCUUGCAGCCAGACUUGCCUGUAGUUGCUCAUCCGGGUUUUUACCCGGUGCACUCUUCUAUAGGCAGGCCAGCAUCAGUUUGGGCGGUUGGAUAAAGGUCUCUGUCACGUACCUCCUCUCGGGGAGAACUUAUAGGGGAGACGUAAUGCAACCAGCCUGGACUGAGGUCCGCGCAUCUGCUAGGAUGCUGGCGUAAUGGCUGUAAGCGGCCCGUCUUGAAACACGGACCAAGGAGUCUAACAUCUAUGCGAGUGUUUGGGUGUCAAGCCCGAGCGCGUAAUGAAAGUGAACGGAGGUGGGAACCUUUCGGGGUGCACCAUCGACCGAUCCUGAUGUCUUCGGAUGGAUUUGAGUAAGAGCAUAGCUGUUGGGACCCGAAAGAUGGUGAACUAUGCUUGAAUAGGGUGAAGCCAGAGGAAACUCUGGUGGAGGCUCGCAGCGGUUCUGACGUGCAAAUCGAUCGUCAAAUUUGGGCAUAGGGGCGAAAGACUAAUCGAACUAUCUAGUA